rnacentral:rRNA from 1 species
UACGUAGGGUGCGAGCGUUGUCCGGAAUUAUUGGGCGUAAAGAGCUUGUAGGUGGUUUGUCGCGUCUGCUGUGAAAAUCCGAGGCUCAACCUCGGACUUGCAGUGGGUACGGGCAGACUAGAGUGUGGUAGGGGAGACUGGAAUUCCUGGUGUAGCGGUGAAAUGCGUAGAUAUCUGGAGGAACACCGGUGGCGAAGGCGGCAUCCUGGACCGAUACUGACGCUGAGGAGCGAAAGCCAGGGGAGCAAACGGG